rnacentral:rRNA from 1 species
AUUGAACGCUGGCGGCAUGCCUAACACAUGCAAGUCGAGCGAGCGUCGGACGGGUGAGUAAUGUAUGGGGACUGCCCGAUAGAGGGGGAUAACUACUGGAAACGGUGGCUAAUACCGCAUACUAUUGGAUAACCCAUAUGGGAUUCGCUAGUAGGUGGGGUAAAGGCUCACCUAGGCAACGAUCCCUAGCUGGUCUGAGAGGAUGAUCAGCAACAAUGGGACUGAGACACGGCCCAGAAUCCUACGGAGGCAGCAGUGGGGAAUAUUGGACAAUGGGGGAAAGCCUGAUGCAGCCAUGCCGCGUGUAUGAAGAAGGCCUUAGGGUUGUAAAGUACUUUUAGCAGGGAAGCGUUACCCGCAGAAGAAGCACCGGCUAACUCCGUGCCAGCAGCCGCGGUAAUUC